GCCAGCGGUGGUGGCCAGAUCUUGCACCCAUAAAGCAUGAGACUUGUAAUCUCAGGGUUGUGGGUUUGAGCCCCACAUUGGGCA